AUUGAACGCUGGCGGCAGGCCUAACACAUGCAAGUCGAACGAGUGGCGGACGGGUGAGUAAUGUCUGGGAAACUGGCUGAUGGAGGGGGAUAACUACUGGAAACGGUAGCUAAUACCGCUUACCAGCGGAUGUGCCCAGAUGGGAUUAGCUAGUAGGUGGGGUAAAGGCUCACCAAGGCGACGAUCCCUAGCUGGUCUGAGAGGAUGACCAGCCACACUGGAACUGAGACACGGUCCAUACGCCUACGGUAGGCAGCAGUGGGGAAUAUUGCACAAUGUGCGCAAGCCUGAUGCAGCCAUGCCGCGUGUAUGAAGAAGGCCUUCGGGUUGUAAAGUACUUUCAGCAGGGAGGCGUUACCCGCCGAAGAAGCACCGGCUAACUCCGUGCCAGCAGCCGCGGUAAUUC
rnacentral:rRNA from 1 species